AUUUGUCCAUUGUUUGCCAUUUUCACACUUGGUUUAUUCCUGUGUGGUGUGAAGUAAGCUCUCAUGCUGUGUUUUGCCAAAUGUUUACUCUGCUGACCCAGAGCAGCUGUCCUGCACCACACACAUGACCACACUUGAGUCUACCACGGGGCUGCCCGCGGGAGCCAUGACAUUUCCCCACACUGGGCUCCACUUGUGUUGAGGCCCGGCUGCUGCGUGUUUCUUUUCUGUAUAAUUUCUGCACUGACUUGCCUAAGUCUGUAGAACCCGAGGGUAUUUUUAUUGGAAUUGAGUUUGAUUUACAGAUUAACAUGGGAGAGCUGUUCUGUUUAUUUAGUUAAGACAUCCUGUCUAAGGACAGAGGCUUCUCCAUCUGCCCAGCCCACCCCCACAUCCUCACAGAGGCGGGAACACUCUUCCCACUUAGCCUUCGCCCGUUCCUUCCUGUUGGUCUCUCUCACUGGUGUGGUGGGGGAGGAAGCUUUUCUCUGCUGUUGUACCUCAGAGUUGUUCUGGGGCCCGUGAGGACAACUAAUACUCUUCUUUUUCACUAUUGCUUUUUUAAUUUUUUAAUUUUUUUUCCAGUUUUCUCGAGACAGGGUUUCUCUGUAUAGCCCCGGCUGUCUUAGAAUUCACUCUGUAGACCAAGCUGGCCUUGAACUCAGAAAUCCACCUGCCUCUUCCUCCCAAGUGCUGGGAUUAAAGGUGUGCGCCACCACCGCUUUGCUUGUUGUUGUUUAUUAAUUUAAAAACGUUUAAUUUAUGAUUUUUUAAAUGUAUAUGGGUACUUUGUCUGCAUGUUUGUCUUUAUGGUAAAUGCCUGGUGCCUGAGGAGGCACACCCCCUGGAACUGGAGUUACAGAUAGUUGUGAGCUGCCACGCGGGGAUUUGAACCCACAUCCUCUGGAAGAGCCAAACAAGCUUCUUAGUAAAGUCCUGGGGCUGCAAGACAGAAAUUAAUGCUGAAAACUAGGGUUCUACAAUAACAAAUAC
rnacentral:lncRNA from 1 species